rnacentral:rRNA from 1 species
UGGGGAAUUUUGGGCAAUGGGCGAAAGCCUGACCCAGCAACGCCGCGUGCAGGAUGAAGGCCCUCGGGUCGUAAACUGCUGUCGGGAGGGAAGAAAAGCAGCGGGAGGAAAUGACCGCUGCCUGACGGUACCUCCAAAGGAAGCGCCGGCUAACUCCGUGCCAGCAGCCGCGGUAAUACGGAGGGCGCAAGCGUUGUUCGGAAUUACUGGGCGUAAAGCGCGUGUAGGCGGUCUGGCAAGUCGGUUGUGAAAUCCCCGGGCUCAACCCGGGAACUGCAUCCGAAACUUCCAGGCUAGAGUUUCGGAGAGGAAGGCAGAAUUCCCAAUGUAGGGGUGAAAUCCGUAGAUAUUGGGAGGAAUACCAGUGGCGAAGGCGGCCUUCUGGACGAUGACUGACGCUGAGACGCGAAAGCGUGGGGAGCAAACAGGAUUAGAUACCCAAGUAGUCCCUGAGCGGGCUGGCAAGGCGCAU